ACACGUCCUCGAACAUGUCAUCUUCGCAAGCUUGGACGCAAGAACCCUUUUCCGAGGAUUUUGUUAACAGCUUGUUCCAAACUCCGUCAUUUUUGAGCCAACUUAACAACUAUCUUGCUUCACAAGGGAAAGGAAAAGGAAAGUCAAAUGACUACGAUUCUGACAACUUAUACGAUAGAGAAUCCGAGGAAGAUUGACUUGUUUUAAUGUAUGAUUUUGAUUUAAUUAAACGUUGUAGGAUUAUAAUGUACGACUAAAACGUAGUUUGCGUAUGUUUGCGUUGUUUUAAUUAUAUUACCUUUAGUAUA